CGUCCCCUACGGGACGCAGCAGUGGGGAAUAUUGCACAAUGGGGGGAACCCUGAUGCAGCGACGCCGCGUGAGUGAAGAAGUACUUCGGUAUGUAAAGCUCUGUCAGCAGGGAAGAAGAAAGACGGUACCUGACCAAGAAGCCCCGGCUAACUACGUGCCAGCAGCCGCGGUAAUACGUAGGGGGCAAGCGUUAUCCGGAUUUACUGGGUGUAAAGGGAGCGUAGACGGCAUAGCAAGUCUGAUGUGAAAGAUCGGGGCUCAACCCCGGGCCUGCAUUGGAAACUGUUAAGCUGGAGUACAGGAG
rnacentral:rRNA from 1 species